GCAAGUCGAACGGGCCCUUCGGGGUCAGUGGCAGACGGGUGAGUAACGCGUGGGAACGUGCCCAUCGGUUCGGAAUAACCCAGGGAAACUUGGGCUAAUACCGGAUACGCCCUUUUUGGGGAAAGAUUUAUCGCCGAUGGAUCGGCCCGCGUCCGAUUAGCUAGUUGGUGAGGUAAAGGCUCACCAAGGCGACGAUCGGUAGCUGGUCUGAGAGGAUGAUC
rnacentral:rRNA from 1 species